ensembl:lncRNA
AUCAGUGUAGUUAGGGUUAAGGUUAGGUUUAAAUCACAUUUUAAGAAGAGAAAUUGUAGAAAUAGGAGGCCUUCUGACUUUGUGGCCGUGGUAAUUAGUGAGUACCUAGAAAUAUCUUGAGCCGAGUAGGUUAAUUACCCAGCCAAGCAGAUACGAGGUGUUGAGUCAUUUAGGUUGUGAAAAGCAUUAUCAAAAAGCUUUGUCCUUUCUUUAUUACAAAAUGCACGUUACAACUUGUCUGUCUAUAUUUAUCACCCUGUAACCGGCCCUCCCAGUCAACAACACCUCAUAAGAUAAGGAAGUACAUUGUUUAUGAGGAUUGCCUGCUGUAGUUGCUCAAGAGAUGUCCAGUUUGCAGCCGAACGUGCAACAUAGUGAAGACCAGCAAGGGGACCCUCAACAUCACACAGACAUGCCCUCGCCUAUGAGCAGUCCUAGAAAUGGAACAGGGAGGACACUUGAAUCAGUGACCAACCAGUAUCUUUGAAGAGGAGUCAGGAGCUGAUCUACGCUGCCAUGUCUGUCAAUGGGGUGCGGGCAAUGACCUUACCUCUAGUCUCUCCUCUUGUCUGCACACCAACGGUUGUCGAUGGGGAGACCUGAAUUAGAUGCAUCUAUGGAGUCAGCAUUUGGAGACUUGGUCCUGACCAACAGACAGGCUUGAUACUGACGUCUCUGAAUGGAAAGAGACCUGGCACUCAAGGCAUCCACACUGUGGGACUGAAGGUGAUUACUAAUAAUGCAGUCCAGAAGAAAUGUCCAUUAUUUGCGACACCCUUUUUAUUAUGUGUCACUGAUGAACUCCGCCUCAACUUGACCUAUUUCUACAAAUGGAGAGGACUGUGGAUGCUUUUGCCAGAUGCCAGCCUUGUUCGUUUGAUGGGGAGACCAUAAUAGGAAAGGUUUUAUCUGACCUGUUCAAACUUCAACUAGUACCUGUUUGUGUGUAAAAUAUUACCUAUCCUAACUGCCAUUGGUAAUAGAACAAUGACUAUGUGUGUAUGUGUUCAUAGAAACAUGUAUGGAGACUUGUAAGAUGAUGUGAUGAAGUUCAGACUGACAGACAGGCUUGAUACUGAUGUCUCUAAAUGGAGAGAGACCUGGCACUCAGCAUUCACAUUUUACACAGCUUUUACUUGUGUUGUCUUUUUUUAAAUUAUUGAAUUGGAUGGGAUCAGUCAAUAUGAGAUGAGAAAAACACCAUGUAUUCUGCACCAAGAUCAGGGAACUCCUGUUGUAUACCGGACACCACACUGGAAGGUAUGACCACUCUGACAUGUUAGCCAAGGUAGCCCCAUUACCACCAGACAAAAUGUCAUUAGGCAUGAUAUCUGUAUCAUUGUUAUAUUAGCUGAACACUGCUUCUACGGUAUUACGUAAAGGUUGUUGGAACUGUUACUACAUUUGAAAGUUAUCAAAACACUUAAUUUAGAAUAUCUACAUAAAUUCUGCAAUUGCAUUCUUCUCAUAUUACUCUGUAGGUCACUGGUUCCCAACCUUUUCGGUUACUGUACUACCAACAGAAUUUUGCUCUUCCCGGAGUACCCUUGAAGUACCCCUCAUAUGCAUUUUACCUGGUCUCAUGAGUCUUCUCAAGUACUACCUUUGGAUAGGCCGAGUACCCCCAUGGGUCCUAGUACCCCUGGUUGGGAACCACUGCUGUAGGCUACUGACCUAUUCGAAGCUUCCUCUGUCAUCUCACCAUACAUCUGCCAGUAGUUAUUGAACUCAAAAUACAGGAGAUUUGUUGUGAUUGAGUGGGGAAAAAUAGAUGCAGGAAAAGUUAUUAUAGAUUGGUGUGUCUUGGUGGUGGCAAGGACACACCCAAGAAACCCCCACAACCCCAAGCCAACUCACGUUUGGCUUCUGUCAUGGCUGCCAGAAUUUCUCGAGGAGCAAGCCAAAAAAGGAGGCCAAAUCAGCAGGUGCAGUUCCCAUUUUAAAGAAAGCUUUCAGUGCAAAGUUCCUUUUCAGUCGUCACUCUCGGUACAACACAGCUAUGGGGAGACUCAUGUCUGAAGCAGAGGUAUAUCAGAC